UCGCCUUAAACUUUGCCCCGAAGUACAUUUAUAUAUUUUAAUUGCAGAUGACGUCACCAGUAUCAACGUACUACAUAGACCACAAUUUGGAUGAAUACGAUUUCAUGAGUAUGGAUGUGCACAAACACGUCCGCUCCUCACACAGCGGCAAGGGGAGAAGUAAAAAAGAGGCAACCACAAACACCAAUAGAUUUGACCAGAGUGGACAUUGCAGGAAAACAGUACAGAAGCUAAUGAACAAUGCCCAUAAAAGGAAAUGAAUCAAUAUCCAAACUCUACAGCUGGUUUAUGAAUACAAAUUUUAAAAAAUAUUUUUACAUUUUUUACUCAUUUUAAAGUUGAUGUUAUGACUUUUUU